rnacentral:rRNA from 1 species
AUGCUAGAGAGCUAGCCCAACUAACACACCAACCAUUAUCUAUACAUAACUAGAACAAGCCUUAAGUCUAACCACUAAAUCAUUCUCCCCCCUUAGUACGGGUGACGGAAAAGGGGUUAUGGAGCUAUAUAUACAGUACCGCAAGGGAAAGCUGAAAUAAUAAUGAAACCAUUCAAAAGCCACAAAUAGCAGAGCUCAUCACUCGUACCUUUUGCACCAUGAUCAAGCAAGCCCAACCCAGGCAAAGUGCGCUUUAGUCUGACACCCCGAAACUAGACGAGCUACUUCAAGACAGCCCAUUGGGGCAAACCCGUCUCUGUGGCAAAAGAGUGGGGAGAUCUUCAAGUAGAGGUGAAAAGCCUACCGAGCCUAGUAAUAGCUGGUUAUCCAGGAACUGAAUGUAAGUUCAGCCCUCAUCCCUCCCUCUGCCAAACUGACCAGGAUCCCAAUUUGGCCCCACUGAGCUUGAGGAGUUAGUCAAGAGGGGUACAGCUCUCUUGAAAGGGGAACAACCUUCACGGGCGGGUGAAGAUCAUW